AACGAACGCUGGCGGUGUGCUUAACACAUGCAAGUCGAACGAGAAAGUUUCCUUCGGGAAGCGAGUAAAGUGGCGCAAGGGUGAGUAACACGUGAAUAAUCUGCCCUCGAGACUGGGAUAACCUGGUGAAAACUGGGCUAAUACCGGAUAAGACCACGUCCCGCAAGGGAUGCGGGAAAAGGAGGCUCAACCUCCACUUGUGGAUGAGUUCGCGGACCAUUAGCUUGUUGGUGAGAUAAAAGCUCACCAAGGCUACGAUGGUUAGCCGGCCUGAGAGGGUGAACGGCCACACUGGAACUGAGACACGGCCCGAACUCCUGCGGGAGGCAGCAGUGGGGAAUAUUGGACAAUGGGGGGCAACCCUGAUCCAGCAAUUCCGCGUGAAUGAUG
rnacentral:rRNA from 1 species